AUUCUUGGUGGCAACUUGCUAGACCAGAGGUUCUCAAAAUGUGAGCCCUGUACUAGCGGCAUCAGCAGCUCCUGAAAACUUGUUAGAAAUAUAAAAUUUCAGGUCCUACUGCAGACCUACUGAACCAGAAAUUCUGGAGUAAAGCUCAGCAGCUUGUGUUUCAUCAAGACCGCCAGGUGAUUCUGAUAUUUGCUAAAGUUGAAGAACGACAGUGCUCGACAGUACUGCAUGUAUUGCUCUCACCUGAAUAACAAUUUGCUUCAUUUGCAUUUAGGAUUUUCUCAUUCUGUAAGUAGCAUCGCGGGCGGGGCCCACUCCCCAGGUCAUCUAGAGGGGCUCACAGUCCAAUCGCUUUUGGAUCUUAAAGGUUGCAAAAUGUAAACAUUCUGUUUCUCUCUACUUCCUUUGUUUCUGCGCAAGAUUUUGAUGACAUGUAGGUACUUUGCUGAGCUCAAAGACUCCACACAUUCCGUAUUUCAUAACUAGCCCUGAUAAUAAUUGCCCUCCUCCAAUUCAAAAUAAUUUUAUUAUCUUCUUUUCAGUAACAAAUUCAUUGAUUAACAUUCCUAUUAUGGUCUCUAAACUUUCUCUUAUUACACCUCCCAUUGAUUUCAUUAACUAAUUAUUUACAACAAUGGUUCUCAAUUUAGGCAUCAUACUGUAAUCACCUAGAGGAGCUUUUUUUUUUCUUUUUUUUUGAGACGGAGUCUCGCUCCGUCGCCCAGGCUGGAGUGCAGUGGCGCGAUCUCGGCUCACUGCAAGCUCCGCCUCCCGGGUUCACGCCAUUCUCCUGCCUCAGCCUCCCGAGUAGCUGGGACUACAGGCGCCCGCCAUCUUGCCCGGCUAAUUUUUUUGUAUUUUUAGUAGAGACAGGGUUUCACCGUGUUAUCUAGAAUGGUCUCGAUCUCCUGACCUCGUGAUCCGCCUGCCUCGGCCUCCCAAAGUGCUGGGAUUACAGGCGUGAGCCACCGCGCCCAGCCUAGGAGCUUUUCUUUUUAAAGUCCAAUGACUGAAAGAGUUUACCAAAAUGGCCUGGUGUCAUCCAGCUUCAUGAUGUGAAUGUCUUUAGAUCUACUACUCUAAGGAGCUGCCCAGAUGAGCUAUGUCCCCUGAGGAUUCUUCUAAUUGUUCUGUGGAAUGUGGAGAUGUCUGUGCAUUACGUGACUAUCUGAAAAUCAGCGAUUUCAGAAUGGUGACUCACAGAUCUGGGAUCGGGGAAAAGGAAAAAAUUGUGAGAAACUAAACAGACGUCACCUUUUUCAUAUUUUUGAGCUUGACUGGAAUCAAGAUUUCACAUGGCACCUCGAGGACAGGAUUAUUAAUAGCCUUUGUGUCAGCCUGAUGGUAAAGCUUUCUCUUUGAAUCCUU
rnacentral:lncRNA from 1 species